rnacentral:rRNA from 1 species
AUUGAACGCUGGCGGCAGGCCUAACACAUGCAAGUCGAGCGGCUGCAGGGAGCUUGCUCCUGGAUUCAGCGGCGGACGGGUGAGUAAUGCCUAGGAAUCUGCCUGGUAGUGGGGGAUAACGUCCGGAAACGGGCGCUAAUACCGCAUACGUCCUGAGGGAGAAAGUGGGGGAUCUUCGGACCUCACGCUAUCAGAUGAGCCUAGGUCGGAUUAGCUAGUUGGUGGGGUAAAGGCCUACCAAGGCGACGAUCCGUAACUGGUCUGAGAGGAUGAUCAGUCACACUGGAACUGAGACACGGUCCAGACUCCUACGGGAGGCAGCAGUGGGGAAUAUUGGACAAUGGGCGAAAGCCUGAUCCAGCCAUGCCGCGUGUGUGAAGAAGGUCUUCGGAUUGUAAAGCACUUUAGGUUGGGAGGAAGGGCAGUAAGUUAAUACCUUGCUGUUUUGACGGUACCAGCAGAAUAAGCACCGGCUAACUUCGUG